rnacentral:lncRNA from 1 species
GGCUUUAUUAGCAUGGGGAAAUCUUCAGCAUAUAAUUGUGUCCAUGCUCUGCUGCGGCAAUAAGGACCUCGGGAAUUCUAGCAGUGUCUUUCUCGACGCUGGUGCUGUUUGCAUCCCCACCUCUUGCUGUCUUGAGGACAAGCAUCAUGGAAGCACCAAACUUGCUGGAGAAUGGAAAUAUUCCACAGCAAAGGAAAUUCACAUGUUAUCAACUGGCUUUUUAUACUUUAUUAUUUGUUUUGAUUAUGAUUUCAACCCUGGUUCCUGUAGUCUUCUGUUUGCUUCAUCAUAAGCAGGCACCGGAGCUGUGCUGGGCACAUGGAUCUUUAAAAUACCCUGUACGAAACAGCAUAGAUCGCAUGAGCUGGGAGUGGAACUUAGAGCACUGCAAUGGAUUUGUGCAGGACCAUGACCAGUACCUCACGAUUGAGCAGAGAGGCAACUACUUCAUCUACGCUCAAGUCAACCGCAAAGAAGUUAUUAACCAGUCUUUUACACUGAUGCUGUUGAAAGAGCCAAACAUCAUCCUCAACAAGGUUGUCGGAUCACAGGGAGGAGAUGACAAAGGCACAAUAAACUUUGGGAGACCCUUUUUCCUGCACAGGGGAGAUAGGUUGUACUGUAGAGCAAAUCUUAAUCCUCAUGAAAUUCUGGAAGGGAAUCAGUCUUACUGGGGUCUGUAUAAAAUAUAGCAAGAUUCUGCUCUGAGCCAGCUCCUCCCUUAUUCCCUCCAGGAAACCUUAGGGCAUGGAUGAAGAGUCUGCAACUUCUCUUUGUAUGAAAUUCAACUUGCUGGAGUACAUGCAAUAGUAGGCUAGUAUCCUGCAGUGACAGAGUAAGGUGUAAAACAAAGUGAAUAGCAAACUUUGUUACUAAUGGAUGGCACCUGAUCAUCAUGAAGUAUGAAAGAAAGAUGUGUCUGGGAGGAAAAGUUCUCAAUGAAUUUUGUGGUUAACUCUGAGAUCCUGGAAAAACAAGUCACUGUAUUCAGUGUGUUCUGAGCUGGGGAGGAGCUCUGCUCUGUAGCAGGUUGCAUUUCAGAGUUGGGUACAUGUCAGUACCUUGGGUCCCUUCUAACAAAAGGUGCUAUGUAAAGCUAAGGUAUUCUAUAUCCUUCCUGCACAGCCUGCCUGUGAAACAACACGCCUCAAGCAAAGGGGUGAAAUAGUUCAGAAACAGUCUGUGACUGAAGGAAAGCUUCUCAGCCCUAUUCAUAGCCUUGCCUCUAGCAAAGGAAACACCACGUAGGAGCUUCCCCAAGGAAGCUACAUCUUCAUGGGUAGUUCAGAGCACAAGGACCUUUCCAGCCAAGCACAAGCAGUACAGCACACCACUGUUGAAUUCAUGUCAACUCCCUGCCACAGUCUAGACGUGCACACCACAGUGAACUUACGGAUCCAGCCAAUGCAGCUGUUUUGCAUCCAACUGCCAUAAAGGAUGUCUCACUGCUGGCUAAGUAGCACAGAAAAGCAAUGAAAGUUGCUGUAUGUAAGUCGAGAUUGUGGAGAAGAGAAAGAUGCAUAUGAGGAGAAUGAGCAAGGAGUGGACAGCAGAGGAUGGAGGACUGGAGAACUGUGCCUAGCAUUUUUUGCUGUGGUGUGUAGUGGGUGUUGUAAGCAGAGUAGGGCAGAGGAGACACAGUCCUGACAUGAAACGAGGAAGGGCUGAGCAUCCCUCCCUACCACUUCCCUCCAUGGGCACAGCUUUGAUAUCCAGCACAAAGCACAAGCUGUGCCAGUACCGCAGCAGAGAUGUAGGAAACACGAGCUAGCAGGAGAGCAGUACACCCUUACUUGCUUGAGGAACCAGCAGGUACUGAGGUGCUGCUCACUUCAAGGCCUUGGACAUCUGCUGUGCUUCCUGGGAUGAUGAGCAUCAAAUCAUCUGCAGAUCACAGGAAGGUCUCAAGGCAUCAGCAAAGGCAAAGUGCUCUUGGAAAUCAGGCUUCUGUGGCUGCACAACCAUGGCAUGGUUCCUCUCCCGUUCCUGGGCAGGCUCUCCCAGGGCUCUGAGCUUUGUUUUCCUGCCACCUGGACCUUCAUGGGUGAAAAAUCCUCUACCAAUCCUCAGAGCAUGUUACAGCCUUGUGGAUGGAUUUUCAUGGGAAAGCAAAGCAAGCAAGAAGCUGGCUGGAAAUAAAUUAGUGAUUUGAGGUGGGCUGGGGCUAUUU